GACGAACGCUGGCGGCGUGCUUAACACAUGCAAGUCGAACGGAAAGGCCCUGCUUUUGUGGGGUGCUCGAGUGGCGAACGGGUGAGUAACACGUGAGUAACCUGCCCUUGACUUUGGGAUAACUUCAGGAAACUGGGGCUACUACAGGAUAGGAGAUCCUGCUGCAUGGUGGGGGUUGGAAAUUUUCGGCGGUUGGGGAUGGACUCGCGGCUUAUCAGCUUGUUGGUGGGGUAGUGGCUUACCAAGGCUUUGACGGGUAGCCGGCCUGAGAGGGUGACCGGCGACAAGAGGACUGCGAGACGGCGCAGACGCCAACGGGAGGCAGCGGUGGGGAAUAUGGCACAGUGGGCGGAAGCGUGAUGCAGCAGCGCCGCGAGCGUGAUGACGGCCUUCGGGGUGUAAACCGCUUUCGCCUGUGACGAAGCGUUAGUGACGGUAAUGGGUAAAGAAGCACCGGCUAACUACGUG
rnacentral:rRNA from 1 species